rnacentral:rRNA from 1 species
AUUAAACGCUGGCGGCAUGCCUUACACAUGCAAGUCGAACGGCAGCACGGGGGCAACCCUGGUGGCGAGUGGCGGACGGGUGAGUAAAGCAUCGGAACGUAUCCUGGAGUGGGGGAUAACGUAGCGAAAGUUACGCUAAUACCGCAUAUUCUGUGAGCAGGAAAGCAGGGGAUCGCAAGACCUUGCGCUCUGGGAGCGGCCGAUGUCGGAUUAGCUAGUUGGUGGGGUAAAGGCCUACCAAGGCGACGAUCCGUAGCGGGUCUGAGAGGAUGAUCCGCCACACUGGGACUGAGACACGGCCCAGACUCCUACGGGAGGCAGCAGUGGGGAAUUUUGGACAAUGGGCGCAAGCCUGAUCCAGCCAUGCCGCGUGAGUGAAGAAGGCCUCGGUUGUAAG